CCUGGCCCCUGGUGGAGGCAAGGGACACUGUACGCACUCCAGGAGGUCUCCAGGGACAUGUGACAGUGGGCAGGGACUAUAGUGAAGCAGUAGCGUGCUUAGGCGAGUACAGUUGGGGUCUCCUGCCUUUUCCUCUCUCCAACCUUGCCUCUUCAGCUCCCUCUCUCUCCUGAUCCCUCAUCCUCCAUCUUUACCACCUUCUGUCUUGUGGAGAGCAGAGGGACACCGGGCCUUGGAUGCUUGCUUUCUUCUUCCUGCAGACCCUUCUGGUCUGAUGUCUUCCUGCCUGGUUGUCUGGAGGAAGACUUUCUACGCUUGUGAUCCUGGCAGUGUGGGGCAUGGCUGGGCUGCUGUGGCCUUGCUUGCUCCCCUGAUUAUUUCUCCUUAAUUGAGCGUAAAGAAUGUGCGGAAUGUGGAGAGACCGCAGGAAGAGGGCUGAGCAGCCCCUCAGGGAUGCAGAUUCUGGACUUUGAGAUGGGAAGAGUUGCAGAUAGCCAGCUGAACCUACACAGUUUGUGUCCAUUCUGGCUUCCCUAUCUCUUCCACAGAACAUGGCAGCGAGCCCACUUCUCCAAGCCUUGGUCUUCUACCUUCUCUGUCCCCCUCUCU
rnacentral:lncRNA from 1 species